AAAAAUUGGGAAUUUUGGGGGGGAAAAUUUGGAAUUUUAGGAGAAAAAAUUGGGAUUUUUUUUGUGGAAAAAUUGGGAAUUUUUAGGGAAUUUUUUUGGGAUUUUGGGGAAAUUUCUGGGAAUUUUGGGUAAAAUUUUUGGGGAAAAUUUUGGGAUUUUUGGGACUGAUUUUGGGGUGUCCCUGGUGGCAGAGCUGUCCCCUCUGAGGUCACUGUCCCUGUCCUACAACCCCCUGGGCCGGGCGGGGCUGCGGCAGCUCCUGAGGACGAUCCCGGCCCGGAGCCUGCGGAGCCUCGAGGUGGCAUCGGUCACCAACGGGGACAUCGGGGACACUGGGGACAUUGGCAGGGACGUGGCUGAGUACCUGCAGCAGGCCGGCUGUGCCCUCUGUCACCUCUCGCUGGCCGGGAACCACCUGAGGGACGGGGACAUCGACGAGCUGGCACGGUGAGGGGACAGGGGGACACCUUGGGGACACUUUUGGGACAUCCUGGGGACACCCCGGGGACAUUGGGGCCAUUUUGGUGUCACUUGGUGCCAAUUUGGUGCCAUUUUUGGCCAUUUCGGUGCCAAUUUGGUGCCAAUUUUGGCCAUUUUGGGUCAUUUCGGUGCCAUUUGUCACCAUUUCAG
rnacentral:lncRNA from 1 species